UACGAAGGGGGCUAGCGUUGUUCGGAAUUACUGGGCGUAAAGCGCGCGCAGGCGGUCUUCCAAGUCAGUGGUGAAAGCCCGGAGCUCAACUCCGGAACUGCCAUUGAAACUGUUGGACUUGAGUACGAGAGAGGUGAGUGGAAUUCCCAGUGUAGAGGUGAAAUUCGUAGAUAUUGGGAAGAACACCGGUGGCGAAGGCGGCUCACUGGCUCAUAACUGACGCUCAGGCGCGACAGCGUGGGGAUCAAACAGG
rnacentral:rRNA from 1 species